rnacentral:misc_RNA from 1 species
AUAUAUAUCAACCUUGUGUUGGAUGUGGGGGUUUUGUUGGCCUUUGAGAGGUCAGCUCCCCUGAAAUGCAUUAGCGGAACUAACUUACCGUUCAUUGGUGUGAUAAAACUAUCUACGCUAUUGACGUGAAAGUCAGGGUUCAGCUUCUAACAAGUCUUCAUUUA